CGAGUGUCCUGGCGCGGUCAUUUCAAACCAAGAUGGCGGCAAUUUUUCGUUAAUUUAACGUUGUGUUUUAGAACUGGUUUUAGAUCAUUUAGAUGGCAUGUUAAGAACCAUGCUAGUUUUGGUCUGAUCACAGUGAUCAGUAAGGUGAAAAGAAGAAAAUGUUUCACCAAACUUCGUAAGUAGUGCGCAGUUUAAAAAUUAAGACUGUUGAAAUGAUAUAAAUAUUAAAUAUUAAAAUGUAGAUUUCUACAGUAGAAAUAGUGUUGUGUUGUAGAAACUUUGGAAGCUGGUCAACUCGGCCCAGUGACCAACUCAGCCCAUACCAUCUUGGCCCAAUUGUUAACUACUGUUUGACAUAUUAGGAAAGCUAAUAUUUUACAGAAGAUAGCA